GAUAAGGUUAAGUGAAUAAGGGCGCACGGUGGAUGCCUUGGCACUAGGAGCCGAUGAAGGACGGGACUAACACCGAUAUGCUUUGGGGAGCUGUACGUAAGCUAUGAUCCAGAGAUUUCCGAAUGGGGGAACCCAGCAUCUUUAAUAGGAUGUUACGAUUGUGUGAAUACAUAGCACAUUCGAGGUAGACGCAGAGAACUGAAACAUCUAAGUACCUGCAGGAAGAGAAAGAAAAUUCGAUUCCCUGAGUAGCGGCGAGCGAAACGGGAAAAGCCCAAACCAGCAAGCUUGCUUGUUGGGGUUGUAGGACUCCAAUAUGGUAGUUCUUUCAGAUAGUCGAAUGACUUGGAAAAGUCAGUCAAAGAGGGUAAAAACCCCGUAGACGAAAUGUGGAAGACACCUAGGRGGAUCCUGAGUACGGCG
rnacentral:rRNA from 1 species